UACGGAGGAUGCAAGCGUUAUCCGGAAUGAUUGGGCGUAAAGCGUCCGCAGGUGGCUGUGUAAGUCUGCUGUCAAAGAGCGAAGCUCAACUUCGUAAAGGCAGUGGAAACUACACGGCUAGAGUGCGUUCGGGGCAGAGGGAAUUCCUGGUGUAGCGGUGAAAUGCGUAGAGAUCAGGAAGAACACCGGUGGCGAAGGCGGCAUCCUGGACCGAUACUGACGCUGAGGAGCGAAAGCCAGGGGAGCAAACGGG
rnacentral:rRNA from 1 species